rnacentral:rRNA from 1 species
AACGAACGCUGGCGGCAGGCCUAACACAUGCAAGUCGAGCGCCCUUUCGGGGGCGCGGCGGCCGGGUGAGUAACGCGUGGGAAUAUGCCCUUCUCUACGGAAUAGCCUCGGGAAACUGAGAGUAAUACCGUAUACGCCCUGUGGGGGAAAGAUUUAUCGGGGAAGGAUUAGCCCGCGUUGGAUUAGGUAGUUGGUGGGGUAAUGGCCUACCAAGCCGACGAUCCAUAGCUGGUUUGAGAGGAUGAUCAGCCACACUGGGACUGAGACACGGCCCAGACUCCUACGGGAGGCAGCAGUGGGGAAUCUUAGACAAUGGGGGCAACCCUGAUCUAGCCAUGCCGCGUGAGUGAUGAAGGCCUUAGGGUUGUAAGCUCUUUCAGCUGGGAAGAUAAUGACGGUACCAGCAGAAGAAGCCCCGGCUAACUCCGUG